rnacentral:tRNA from 1 species
CCGUGUGUGGCGCAGUUGGUAGCGCGCGUGCUUUGGGAGCAUGAGGUCGCAGGUUCGAGACCUGCUACACGGA